AGAAGAAGCUAUCACUGCAU
rnacentral:miRNA from 1 species